rnacentral:misc_RNA from 1 species
GAUGAAGAACGUAGCGAAAUGCGAUAAGUAAUGUGAAUUGCAGAAUUCAGUGAAUCAUCGAAUCUUUGAACGCACAUUGCGCCCGUUAGCAUUCUAGCGGGCAUGCCUGUCCGAGCGUCAUUUCAACCCUCAGGGUCCCCGUUCCGGCGGGGAACCUGGUGUUGGGGAUCGGCCCGCCCCGUGCGGCGCCGUCCCCCAAAUUCAGUGGCGGUCUCGCUGCAGCCUCCCCUGCGUAGUAGUUACAACCUCGCAUCGGAGCUCAGCGCGGCCACGCCGUAAAACCCCCGACUUUCUGAACGUUGACCUCGGAUCAGGUAGGAAUACCCGCUGAACUUAAGCAUAUCAAUACGCGGAGGA